UACGGGGGGGGCAAGCGUUGUUCGGAAUUACUGGGCGUAAAGGGUUCGUAGGUGGCUUCUUAAGUCAGACGUGAAAUCCCUCAGCUUAACUGGGGAACUGCGUCUGAGACUGGGGAGCUUGAGUGCAGGAGAGGAACGCGGAAUUCCAGGUGUAGCGGUGAAAUGCGUAGAUAUCUGGAGGAACACCGGUGGCGAAGGCGGCGUUCUGGACUGUAACUGACACUGAGGAACGAAAGCCAGGGGAGCAAACGGG
rnacentral:rRNA from 1 species